GUCCUUUCUGGUUAUAAUACAUGGUUUCACCACUGUCAACUACUUUGCGAAAGUUUGUUUGAAUUAUUGAAAUUAAAGGGUGGUACUGAAGGAUCCAGGUGGAAUAACUCAUCACAUAAGAGAGCUUUCAUGCACAGAGCCAGACUAUCUACAUCUCUUGCCAUUGGACCAAUUGUUGCUGUCACUAUAAAGGAAACAGGAUCUCCAAUGAAAUGGACUGCAUGAAACAAGUCAGGUCCUGGAGCUGUUCCUCACAUCCAUGAAGAAAAUCUGUCACACAGUUCACCUCCUGGGUUACUUCAAGAGCCUGGUCCAGAAGGGGAAACAUCAUUUAUUAAAUAAAUCAAAUUAAGCUGGAGUCAAACUUUGUAUUCUGGAAAAUCCAGCUGUUGACCCAGAGGAUAGAUG